rnacentral:rRNA from 1 species
AAAAGAACUUUGAAGAAAGAGUUCAAGAGAAUGUAAAACUGCCACGAGGUUAAAACAGAUAGACAUGCAUAGCGGAAAAGGAGGUCUCAUCUUCUUGAACCUCGCGGCGCUGGCGCGCUUUAGACCGGCUUCGCCCGGCCACCCUCAUGGCAGUUUCCGACUCCGAAUAAGUCUAUCACGUCGGCGGAUGUCGGGGAAAGGGGGGUGGAUUUCUCUCCUUAGUGCGCAGUCGCUCGAAGGUUGUCUGUGACCAGGGAGUUUGGGAACCGAGCCGCCUCCAGCCUUCUCUAAGGAGGUAUGGAGCUGCGGAUCGGGGACUCUCCCUAGAUUCUAACGGCGGACCGUUCGAUGAGAGGAAGGGUUCGGGGCUUAGUCCUCGUGUCCCUUCGGGCGGCCGAUAUUCGCGAUCGUCCAUCCAUCCUGUCUUAAAACACGGACCAAGGAGUCUAACACGUGCGCGAGUCGAAGGGAUAAGUCUGAUCCCCGAGGCGCAACGAAAGCGAAAAAGGCACUCUUCCUCACCGCGGUGGCCUCCGCCAUCUCUCGUCUUCGUCCGUCCACGAGCGCACGCUCUCUCUCUCUCUCUUCCCUCGCGGUGGAGGGUUGUGGGGGCGUCGGCAGGUCGAUCGGUAGUGGCUUUGCCCGUGGCAGCAGCGGAGUUCUGUUGGGCUGAUCCGCGCUCAUAUCCUUUCCGGAGGACCGGCGCAGGUCCGGGGCUCGUCGCUACCAUCCCGUGACCCUUCGCGGGGCUCUCGUGACGGACGGCAGGCACCUAGAGCAUACAUGCUAGUACCCGAAAGAUGGUGAUCUAUGCCUGCCAGGACGAAGCCAGAGGAAACUCUGGUGGAGGUCUGUAGCGAUUCUGACGUGCAAAUCGAUCGUCAGAGCUGGGUAUAGGG